GACGAACGCUGGCGGCGUGCUUAACACAUGCAAGUCGAACGGACAGACAGAGAGCUUGCUCUCUUGAAGUUAGUGGCGAACGGGUGAGUAACGCGUAAUCAACCUGCCCUUCAGAGGGGGAUAACAACGGGAAACCGUUGCUAAUACCGCGUACGAUUCAUGAACGGCAUCGUUUAUGAAUGAAAGGUGGCCGCUAUGUAUAAGCUAUCGCUGAAGGAGGGGAUUGCGUCUGAUUAGCUAGUUGGAGGGGUAACGGCCCGCCAAGGCAAUGAUCAGUAGACGUUCUGAGAGGAUGAACGGCCACAUUGGGACUGAGACACGGCCCAAACUCCUACGGGAGGCAGCAGUGGGGAAUCGUCCGCAAUGGACGAAAGUCUGACGGAGCAACGCCGCGUGAGUGAUGAAGGUCUUCGGAUUGUAAAGCUCUGUUAAUCGGGACGAAAGAGUUCUGCGUGAAUAAUGCAGAAAAGUGACGGUACCGGAAUAGAAAGCCACGGCUAACUACGUGCCAGCCGCCGCGGUAA
rnacentral:rRNA from 1 species